rnacentral:rRNA from 1 species
ACUCCUACGGGAGGCAGCAGUGGGGAAUAUUGGACAAUGGGCGCAAGCCUGAUCCAGCCAUGCCGCGUGAGUGAUGAAGGCCCUAGGGUUGUAAAGCUCUUUCACCGGUGAAGAUAAUGACGGUAACCGGAGAAGAAGCCCCGGCUAACUUCGUGCCAGCAGCCGCGGUAAUACGAAGGGGGCUAGCGUUGUUCGGAUUUACUGGGCGUAAAGCGCACGUAGGCGGACUAUUAAGUCAGGGGUGAAAUCCCGGGGCUCAACCCCGGAACUGCCUUUGAUACUGGUAGUCUUGAGUUCGAGGGAGGUGAGUGGAAUUCCGAGUGUAGAGGUGAAAUUCGUAGAUAUUCGGAGGAACACCAGUGGCGAAGGCGGCUCACUGGCUCGAUACUGACGCUGAGGUGCGAAAGCGUGGGGAGCAAACAGGAUUAGAAACCCCGGUAGUCCCAUGA